UGUACUUGGUGUUACUGCGAAGGGGGGACGGAGAAGGCUAUGUUGGCCGGGCGACGGUUGUCCCGGUUUAAGCGUGUAGGCUGGUUUUCCAGGCAAAUCCGGAAAAUCAAGGCUGAGGCGUGAUGACGAGGCACUACGGUGCUGAAGCAACAAAUGCCCUGCUUCCAGGAAAAGCCUCUAAGCAUCAGGUAACAUCAAAUCGUACCCCAAACCGACACAGGUGGUCAGGUAGAGAAUACCAAGGCGCUUGAGAGAACUCGGGUGAAGGAACUAGGCAAAAUGGUGCCGUAACUUCGGGAGAAGGCACGCUGAUAUGUAGGUGAAGCGACUUGCUCGUGGAGCUGAAAUCAGUCGAAGAUACCAGCUGGCUGCAACUGUUUAUUAAAAACACAGCACUGUGCAAACACGAAAGUGGACGUAUACGGUGUGACGCCUGCCCGGUGCCGGAAGGUUAAUUGAUGGGGUUAGCGGUAACGCGAAGCUCUUGAUCGAAGCCCCGGUAAACGGCGGCCGUAACUAUAACGGUCCUAAGGUAGCGAAAUUCCUUGUCGGGUAAGUUCCGACCUGCACGAAUGGCGUAAUGAUGGCCAGGCUGUCUCCACCCGAGACUCAGUGAAAUUGAACUCGCUGUGAAGAUGCAGUGUACCCGCGGCAAGACGGAAAGACCCCGUGAACCUUUACUAUAGCUUGACACUGAACAUUGAGCCUUGAUGUGUAGGAUAGGUGGGAGGCUUUGAAGUGUGGACGCCAGUCUGCAUGGAGCCGACCUUGAAAUACCACCCUUUAAUGUUUGAUGUUCUAACGUUGGCCCGUGAUCCGGGUUGCGGACAGUGUCUGGUGGGUAGUUUGACUGGGGCGGUCUCCUCCUAAAGAGUAACGGAGGAGCACGAAGGUUGGCUAAUCCUGGUCGGACAUCAGGAGGUUAGUGCAAUGGCAUAAGCCAGCUUGACUGCGAGCGUGACGGCGCGAGCAGGUGCGAAAGCAGGUCAUAGUGAUCCGGUGGUUCUGAAUGGAAGGGCCAUCGCUCAACGGAUAAAAGGUACUCCGGGGAUAACAGGCUGAUACCGCCCAAGAGUUCAUAUCGACGGCGGUGUUUGGCACCUCGAUGUCGGCUCAUCACAUCCUGGGGCUGAAGUAGGUCCCAAGGGUAUGGCUGUUCGCCAUUUAAAGUGGUACGCGAGCUGGGUUUAGAACGUCGUGAGACAGUUCGGUCCCUAUCUGCCGUGGGCGCUGGAGAACUGAGGGGGGCUGCUCCUAGUACGAGAGGACCGGAGUGGACGCAUCACUGGUGUUCGGGUUGUCAUGCCAAUGGCACUGCCCGGUAGCUAAAUGCGGAAGAGAUAAGUGCUGAAAGCAUCUAAGCACGAAACUUGCCCCGAGAUGAGUUCUCCCUGACUCCCUGAGAGUCCUGAAGGAACGUUGAAGACGACGACGUUGAUAGGCCGGGUGUGUAAGCGCAGCGAUGCGUUGAGCUAACCGGUACUAAUGAACCGUGAGGCUUAACCUU
rnacentral:rRNA from 1 species